rnacentral:lncRNA from 1 species
ACACCGAAUAACUCGUUACAAAAAGAGCUAGGGUCCCAGACUGCGCCAAAGCUUCAGGAGACUGCUCCUCGUCUGUGCACAGAUGAGUGGCCAACUCUGGAGCCCAGGUUGUUGCUUCCUAGUCUGGUGGUGAAUCCUUCAUAGUCUGAGUCUCACUUGGUUGCUCAGACUGGAGUACAGUGGUACGAUCUCGACUCACUGAAACCUCUGCUUCCUGGCUUCAAGCAUUUCUCCUGCCUCAGCCUCCUGAGUAGCUGAGAUUACAGGCGCCCACCACCAAAAAAAAAAUAACCCAGCCUCAGAGGUGCUUAUUUAGCAAAUUCAACCUUAAACCUGAGUGCAUGGAAACUAUUGAUGCAGUGUCCAAGGUGGAGAAAGGUCAGAGUGGAUCCAGAGGAGCCAAGAGAAGACGUCCAGCAUGGUGACCUGGGCUCAAGUCAAGGUCCUUAUUUCUCUGACGGAGUCUCGCUUUCACCCAGGCUGGAGUGCAGUGGUGCGAUCUCGGCUCACUACAGGCUCUGCCCACUGGUUUCACGCCAUUCUCCUGCCUCAGCCUCCCGAGUAGCUGGGACUACAGGCGUGGAAAAAUACAUCAUUUCUAACUUCAAGGAACUGAUCUUCCAGUUGAAGAAACCUUUCAUGCUUUUUAAUUAGUGCAAUCA